rnacentral:tRNA from 1 species
AAAAUCCGUCGACUUUAGAAAUCGUGAGGGUUCAAGUCCCUCUAUCCCCCCAAAAAGACCGAUUUGACUAUUUCUCCUACCCUCUCUUUUUUUUAGUGGUUCAAAAUUUGUUCUCUUUCUCAUUCAUUCUACCUUUUUACAAACGUAUCAGAGCAGAAUUUUUUUCUUUUAUCACAAUCACAAGUGGUGUGGUAUAUAUGAUAUACGUACAAAUGAACAUCUUUGAACAAAGAAUCCCGAUUCACAAUUCAUAUCAUUGCUCAUACUGAAACUUAUAAAUUAUUCUAUUCAAGAAAUCUAAUUCCACGCUCAAGACUUUUAAUACUUUUUUUAUCUUUUUUAAUUGACAUAGACCCCAGUCAUCUAGUAAAAUAAGGAUGAUGCGCCGGUAAUGGUCGGGAUAGCUCAGCUGGUAGAGCAGAGGACUGANAAUCCUC